AUUGAACGCUGGCGGCAGGCCUAACACAUGCAAGUCGAGCGGAUGAAGGGAGCUUGCUCCUGGAUUCAGCGGCGGACGGGUGAGUAAUGCCUAGGAAUCUGCCCGGUAGUGGGGGAUAACGUCCGGAAACGGGCGCUAAUACCGCAUACGUCCUGAGGGAGAAAGUGGGGGAUCUUCGGACCUCACGCUAUCAGAUGAGCCUAGGUCGGAUUAGCUAGUUGGUGGGGUAAAGGCCUACCAAGGCGACGAUCCGUAACUGGUCUGAGAGGAUGAUCAGUCGCACUGGAACUGAGACACGGUCCAGACUCCUACGGGAGGCAGCAGUGGGGAAUAUUGGACAAUGGGCGAAAGCCUGAUCCAGCCAUGCCGCGUGUGUGAAGAAGGUCUUCGGAUUGUAAAGCACUUUAAGUUGGGAGGAAGGGCAGUAAGUUAAUACCUUGCUGUUUUGACGUUACCAACAGAAUAAGCACCGGCUAACUUCGUG
rnacentral:rRNA from 1 species